rnacentral:rRNA from 1 species
UAAGCGGAGGAAAAGAAACUAACAAGGAUUCCCCUAGUAACGGCGAGUGAACAGGGAAGAGCUCAAAUUUGUAAUCUGGCGUCCUUUGGGCGUCCGAGUUGUAAUCUAUAGAAGCGUUUUCCGUGCUGGACCAUGUCCAAGUCCCUUGGAACAGGGUAUCAAAGAGGGUGACAAUCCCGUGCUUGACAUGACGACCAGUGCUCUGUGAUACGCUCUCUACGAGUCGAGUUGUUUGGGAAUGCAGCUCAAAAUGGGUGGUGAGUUCCAUCUAAAGCUAAAUAUUGGCGAGAGACCGAUAGCGAACAAGUACCGUGAGGGAAAGAUGAAAAGCACUUUGGAAAGAGAGUUAAACAGUACGUGAAAUUGUUGAAAGGGAAACGAUUGAAGUCAGUCGUGUCCGAGGGGUUCAGCCGGUCCCGCCGGUGUAUUCCCCUCGGAUGGGUCAACGUCAGUUUGGACCGGUGGAAAAGGGCAGUUGGAAGGUGGCAGCUCCGGCUGUGUUAUAGCCUUCUGUCGCACACGCCGGUCUAGACUGAGGAAUGCAGCUCGCCUUCAUGGCUGGGGUUCUCCCACAUUCGAGCUUAGGAUGUUGACAUAAUGGCUUUAAACGACCCGUCUUGAAACACG